rnacentral:rRNA from 1 species
GACAGAGGCCUCAAGCGUUAGGCGGAAUCACUGGGCUUAAAGCGUGUGUAGGCGGUUCGUUAAGUACCUUGUGAAAUCCCACGGCUCACCCGUGGAACUGCUGGGUAUACUGGCGAUCUUGGGCCAACUAGGGGCAGCUGGAACAAGCGGUGGAGCGGUGAAAUGCGUAGAUAUCGCUUGGAACGCCGAAGGUGAAAACAGGCUGCUGGGGUUGUGCCGACGCUGAGACACGAAAGCCAGGGGAGCAAACGGG